rnacentral:rRNA from 1 species
GGAACCAGGCGUGAAUCGGCGCGGCCCACCGCGCAAGGCUAAAUACUACUUAGUGACCGAUAGUGAAGAGUAGCGCGAGCGAAAGGUGAAAAGAACCCCUGUUAGGGGAGUGAAACAGAACCUGAAACCGUACACUUACCAGCGGUAGGAGCCCUAUUAAUGGGGUGACUGCGUGCCUUUUGCAUAAUGACCCGGCGAGUUGGCGUAGGUGGC